rfam:Pan troglodytes isolate Yerkes chimp pedigree #C0471 (Clint) chromosome 1, whole genome shotgun sequence.
GCCAGGUGUGGUGGCGCACGCCUGUAAUCCCAGCUACUCAGGAGGCUGAGGCAGGAGAAUUGCUUGAACCCAGGAGGCGGUGGUUGCAGUGAGCUGACAUCACGCCACUGCACUCCAGCCUGGGCAACAGAGCAAGACUCCAUCUCAA